rnacentral:rRNA from 1 species
UACGGAAGGGGCAAGCGUUUGUUCGGAAUCAUUGGGCGUAAAGGGCGUGUAGGUGGUUCUGUAUGUCUACCGUGAAAGCGUACGGCUCAACCGUAUUUAGUCGGUAGAAACUGCAGGACUUUGAGGCUGGGAGGGCUGGUGGAAUUCCCCGUGUAGCGGUGAAAUGCGUAGAGAUGGGGGAGAACACUCGUGGCGAAGGCGGCCAGCUAGACCAGUUCUGACACUGAGGCGCGAUAGCGUGGGGAGCAAACAGG